rnacentral:rRNA from 1 species
AUACGGAGGGUGCAAGCGUUAUUCGGAAUCACUGGGCGUAAAGGACGCGUAGGCGGGUUGGCAAGUCAGAUGUGAAAUCCUACAGCUUAACUGUAGAACUGCAUUUGAAACUGCUAACCUAGAGUAUGGGAGGGGGAGAUGGAAUUAGUGGUGUAGGGGUAAAAUCCGUAGAUAUCACUAGGAAUACCGAAAGCGAAGGCGAUCUCCUGGAACAUAACUGACGCUAAGGCGUGAGAGCGUGGGGAGCAAACAGGAUUAGAAACCCCAGUAGUCC